rnacentral:rRNA from 1 species
GAUGAACGCUGGCGGGCUGCUUAACACAUGCAAGUCGAACGCAACCUUCGGGCUGAGUGGCGGACGGGUGAGUAACGCGUGAGAAUCUGCCUUGGGGUCGGGGAGAACCACUGNGAAACGGUGGCUAAUACCGGGAUAAGCCUUUGGGGAAAAAAUUUAUUGCCCCAAGAGGAGCUCGCGUCUGAUUAGCUAGUUGGUGAGGUAAAAGCUCACCAAAGGCAGCGAUCAGUAGCUGGUCUGAGAGGACGAUCAGCCACACUGGGACUGAGACACGGCCCAGACUCCUACGGGAGGCAGCAGUGGGGAAUUUUCCGCAAUGGGCGAAAGCCUGACGGAGCAAGACCGCGUGAGGGAGGAAGGCUCUUGGGUUGUAAACCUCUUUUCUCAGGGAAGAAGCUCUGACGGUACCUGAGGAAUCAGCCUCGGCUAACUCCGUGCCAGCAGCCGCGGUAAUACGGAGGAGGCAAGCGUUAUCCGGAAUUAUUGGGCGUAAAGCGUCCGCAGGUGGCGAUUCAAGUCUGCUGUCAAAGCACGGGGCUUAACUCCGUUAAGGCAGUGGAAACUGAAUAGCUAGAGUGCCGUAGGGGUAGAGGGAAUUCCCGGUGUAGCGGUGAAAUGCGUAGAGAUCGGGAAGAACAUCGGUGGCGAAAGCGCUCUACUGGACGGCAACUGACACUCAGGGACGAAAGCUAGGGGAGCGAAUGGGAUUAGAUACCCCAGUAGUCCUAGCUGUAAACGAUGGAUACUAGGUGUAGCUUGUAUCGACCCGAGCUGUGCCGAAGCUAACG